UUUAAAAAAAUCUGACAGUGUGAGUACAAAAAGACAAUCAACAACAUUGUCAGACACAUAGUCUUCGAGUAAAGAAUAAAUUUAUUGUAUUAAAUAAAAAAAAAAAAAAAAUUAAACCAUGGCAGAUGAUAAAUCGCAAGAGGAACGUAAUUCUGUGAUACGGAAAAAAAUGUUGGACAUGCAGAACAUAAAAGUAGAACCAAUGCCCGCGGAUUCUCCAUGGUUGAGACCAGCGCGAAUGACCUUCUACCAGAAUGGAUCAAAAAAAGCAUGGGACUUAUCACGAGUUCAUGACAGCGUGGCGAUAAUAGUAUUCAACAUUACACGUAAAAAAUUAGUAUUUGUACGUCAAUUCCGUCCUGCAGCUUAUUUUGCAACACUGCCCGAAAAAUUUCAAGACAUUGACACCAGCAAGUAUCCAUUAGAACAAGGCCUGACCUUGGAACUGUGUGCUGGUAUAGUUGAUAAAGAUUUGCCGCUUAUCGAGAUUGCUAGUAUUGAAUUACGUGAAGAAUGCGGAUAUGAAGCCCCACCAUCAGCUUUUACUCACAUCAUUACUUACCGUGAUAUUGCCAGUACGACUGCUAAGCGAGCUGUAUUUUACGUUGAAGUAACCGACGAAAUGCAUAAACAUCCUGGCGGAGGAGCUGAAUCGGAAGGGGAAUUAAUAGAAGUCGUAGAAAUGACUCCACAGGAAGUUAACAAUUACAUUUCGUCAGGUGAAGUACAGAGUCCAUCAGCUUUUCUUUAUGGUGUUUUAUGGUUUCUAUCAAAUAAGAAAGACCGCUAUAGUUAGGCAAUUUAUUGAGGCAAAGGCUCAUAUUGUUAAAUUAAAGUUUAAAAUUAAUUUUGUCUCAAUUUGAAUAAUAAAAUUAAUUUGUAUAAAUUA